GGUUAAUCUACAGCAUUAUAUGUGAUUUGUAUUAUACAAAACAGAUUACUGUUAGAGUUAUUUUAAUAAAAGUUCUACUCUGUGAAGGUCGUCUGUUCCAGCCUCCGCUAUGGAGCAACAACACCAAGGUUUAAAAAGGAGGUCCUACACAUCACACCAAGAGUGAGGAGGGGACCAGCUCCUAACAUACUGUCCUCAUUUAAAUCAUGUCAAUUCAAAAUAAUCUUUUACAAACCAUUUUUCAGACACCGAUCUACCUCUCCAUCUAGGUUCAUUAUGUAGUCCAGUCGGAAUUUUUCUUUCAGAAUACAGUUCUGUUGUUUUAUGAAAUUAUCAAAAUUGCUCUUUUGAAUAAUUAUUACAAAGAUACAGAUGCAACGAUCUAUAUGGAGCUGCUCCGGCUUCUUUAUCGUGUCAGAGAAUUCGAAGUUACAGGUUCAGUUUCUGAAGCUUCUACCGAAGACCUCUAUCAGAUGAAGCGUUGAGGGUUAAGCAUCACUGUUAGACA